CCCUUAGAUGUUCGGGGCCGCACGCGCGCUACACUGAAGGACUCAGCGUGUCUCUCCCCCUAUCCCGAAAGGGAUGGGCAACCCGUUGAACCUCCUUCGUGCUAGGGAUUGGGGUUUGCAAUUAUCCCCCAUGAACGAGGAAUUCCCAGUAAGCGCGAGUCAUCAGCUCGCGUUGAUUACGUCCCUGCCCUUUGUACACACCGCCCGUCGCUACUACCGAUUGGGUGUGCUGGUGAAAUGUUCGGAUCGGCCGUUUGUCGCGGUUUCCGCGUCAUGUGGCUGAGAAGUUCAUUAAACCCUCCCACCUAGAGGAAGGAGAAGUCGUAACA
rnacentral:rRNA from 1 species